rnacentral:rRNA from 1 species
UACGUAGGGUGCAAGCGUUAAUCGGAAUUACUGGGCGUAAAGCGCACGUAGGCGGAUUGUUAAGUCGGGGGUGAAAUCCUGGAGCUCAACUCCAGAACUGCCUUCGAUACUGGCGAUCUCGAGUUCGGGAGAGGUGAGUGGAACUGCGAGUGUAGAGGUGAAAUUCGUAGAUAUUCGCAAGAACACCAGUGGCGAAGGCGGCUCACUGGCCCGAUACUGACGCUGAGGUGCGAAAGCGUGGGGAGCAAACAGG